GAAGAUAUCCACCACCAACACCAAUUCCUUGUUGUUUCUAAAAGGAACACAUAACAGAAUGCUAUAGACACCCAUUUCAGAAUGUCUCUAGAUGAUUGGGUCCUAAGAGGCAUGCUAUUAGCCUAAUUAUAGGAUGCCAUGUGAGAUUAUGAAAAGAUGGUUGAGUGCAACUAAUUAUAAUUCCAAGGACAGAAGGGUAAUUUUAGCCACUCACCACUCAAUCAAAAUCAAUUUUGAGGGCUAAAUGGUAGGCACCAUUGAGAGAGCUAGACACCUCAUACGACACCCAUGUCCCAUGACCUUGCUUUAUUAUGGAACACACUUUAAUUAUGUUAUGUCUAAGCCAAUGCAAGCUAAUGAAGUUCUUCCUUUCCCUAAAAAGCCAAUGCAAACUAAGCAAUAGAUUAGGUGACAUAUUUAUUGUAGUUUAGGAUUGUUUGACAUAUUCUGUAUUUUCAUUUACAUAGUAAAGCAACUACAAUAGCCAUCUAUAUAACUACGUAAAUCUUGUAUUUGUGUGUUCAUUUAUAUCUAUUGAUUUCUCUAUUUAUAUCCCGAAAUUCUAUGCUAGGGUUUCAUAUAUUCCUAAAAAAGCAAACACAAUGGUAAAAGAAGGCUCUCUGUAUCAUAGUUUACCGAUAUGGCGAACGAAAACGAGAUAGAUAAUUCAAAAAGACAUGUGAAAACUAUUUUCAAUAUGAUAUGAGAAAACAGAAAAAGCUAGCUUGAAAUAAAAGUUAAAACUAACAUAUAGUAUUGGAAGAUAAAUUAUUGUCUUAAAAGUAGGAAUACGAAUAGUAAAAUAAUCUUAGGCUAGUAAUUUUCACAUUUAAAAAAAAAAUUGCC
rnacentral:lncRNA from 1 species